GCUCUUAAAGCUAUCGGGAGGGAAUUGUCUGGAGUUCCUCUGUGACAUGGCUGCCUGGGCUUGCAAGGGCAGAGUCUUUUCUGUACUUCCACUCGCUAAGAAAUGUCCUGUUGGGGCAGUUGGAGCUCCUGUUCCAGGCCACCACACAGCAGCUGCCCAGUGAGCACUGCAGGUCAUAGUUCGCACAUUGUGCAAGGCCUCUCUUAGCUACUCCAGCCCUGGAUGACCCUGAGGAUCCCAGAGGGGUAAAGCAACUGCAAGCUGCUGGUGUCUACUCAAUGGGUGCAGACACCAAGGCCCUUAUACUGCCCCUUCCUGACCCGGGCGUUGCCCAAGACCGUCUGUGCCUGAGGAUGCCCUCCUAGUCUGCACCCUGCCUGACAUAGGAGGCUCUAUUGCUGGAGAGGAAUGAGCUGGGGAGAGGGUGCAGAACCCCGCCCCCCUUCCCACCCUCCAACUUUUUAAAGAUUCACUGUCCUCCUCCUACCCCUCUACCAUAAGGUCCCCUUGCCAACCUGAAUGGUUGGGCUAAUUUCAGAAUGGUUUCAAAGAAAAUGUUUCUAGCUGCCUGAAGGGUGUUUGUGUGUAAACUGACUGCCCCAGAGCUGAAAAUUAGGCUGGGUUAUUAUUUUUUCUUUCUUUCUAAAAGCCAAAUGGCUUGAACUAGGGAACCUAAGACGUUUAGGCUGCUGAGAUGACACUGCGCAGACUGGAAAGCUGCUCUACUCCUCCCUCCUACCCAAUUAAGCUGGAAGAUCAAAGACUUCCUUCAGCUCCUGCUCUUGUUCAUCUACUCCCUGCUUGGGCUGGACUCUGGACACAUGAUUUCCUUCUGGCUCUGACCUCUCAGUGGGAAGAUACACUUUCUCUUUGCUCUUACAGCUGGUGAGGGGGGUGAGAGGGUGUGAGACAAGAUAGAGAGUGCAUGUGUGUGUGUGUGUGUGUGCGCGCACGCCUGUGUGUGUUCAGUAAUGUGUGACAGUACAUGAAAGGUGCAGGGAAGUGAGUUCUGGUGUCCAGUUACUAUGGCAACACUAGAUCUGUGGAAAUUCUGUGUGUGACGCAGCUCUCCGUGCUAUAACAAACAUCUGCACCAAGGAAGUUCAGCUUCAGCACCAAAACUCCGACGACUUCAUCCACACACUAUGCCCACUAACGGACUCACUUUAAUAACGUUUCCUUCUGCUGCUGCUGCUGCUGCUGCUGCUGCUGCUUCUGGAGGGAGACUGUUUGGCCGGCUUUUGGAAAACAUGCCAAAUUAACAAGGAAAGGCGUGCGAAGCAGCCUUGUGCAGGCCUGGGCUGGACAGCUGGGUCCAGCACUGGCCUGUUGAAUUCCUCCUAAUAAGUGGCUCAUUUCUAACAUUGUCACUCCCUGGUGUUAGAUUCCCAGGCCAGUCAGAGGUCUGGGAUGCUUCCUGUAGCAGUGACAAUCCUUCUCCUGAGGUGGCUUCUCCUGGAGAUCACUGAGGUAGUGGGGUCUGCUGUGCCGUGAGCUGAGAAGCCAGGUUACGGGUUUGCUUGCCAGAAGCUUGGUUGGAGAAUCAGAAAGGGGAAAAUCUGGCCUAGGGUCACACAGUACAGUGAAGGCAGAAUUCAGAUUUGGUGCAAGACCUAAGGUCCUGCCUUCAGUGCAUAUGGACAAUGCUGAAGCUUCUACGUUCUGCAUCACAAGAAGGUGAGAUCUGGGGUCAUUACACAGAUUAAUAGGGAAACUUGGGUUUCCCCCAUUUCAAUUGAUGUUGAAUCCUAGGAGACCUAAGCAAGUAUUACCAUCUUCGUAAGUUAAAAAACCACAACAGACUUGUAGUUAAGUACCAGCCCAGCAAAAUGUCCUGCUUUCCCCGGCAAUGACUGAGAAAUUUCAAUUAAACUUACUUCUCUGUCAUUAGGACCAUGAUGAGCUGUCAAGCCCCAUGAUGAGACUUGUGACUUGGGACAAAGAAUGAGGUGCUUGUUUCCUUAUGUCUAGAAUGGGGAAUAAUGUUUACUUCCCAGGCUGGGAUCAUUAAAUGGCGUCUGAUGUGUCAAGUGUUUUAAUCUUCGUCAUCCUAGCGACUGAACUAGGCCUUCACGCUGAGCUUCGUCCCCAGGCCUUUUUUCAGUUUCUUAAUUUGAGACAGAUCAUCUGAAGGUGUUAGGUUACCCAGGCUGGACUGCAGUUGAACUUGCAAUCCCCCUGCCUCAGCCUCCCUCACGACCCUCACACAUGCUAAGGCAAGCUCUUUACUGAUGGAGCUACAUUCCCAGCCCUGUGAAGCACUUUAUAAACCGGGAGGAUGGUGUUUAAAGAAGGGAUGAUGGUGACUGGUAAUCAGACUAGCACAGGGACAAUGAAAAUGAAAAUCUGUGUCUUCUGUCCUGAUCCUCUGCCUCCAGCCCUGGCGAUGAUGCCUCCCACCCUGCAUUUCUAGACAGAUGGGGCGCAGUUUGGUUUCCUUGGUGGGUGGGCAGAGGGCAAGAAAGGUGGGCAGAUACAGUGAUGUGCAGACCAGAUGGUGGGUCCAGGGGCGGACAGCUGCUGGGAUGGCAUCCUCUCAAAUGCCAAGCAGUGCGUGCUCUUGGCCAUGGUGAUGGUCAGCUUCCAAGCCCUUGCCAGCCAGUGUGUCCCUGUCCUCCCUCCAUCCCCAUGCCCGACCCCAGGCCACGCAGAUGGAAUUGGGACAAAGACAAGAGAUCUUCAGGGAAGUCUAGAGUGCAGUUUGCUUAUCAGUUGCCAAUAAGCUCUUCAGUGGCAAAUUAAUUUAAAAAAAUACUUCUAUUCUAGAAAUGUAGAAGCAUCUACACAUUUAUACAGGACAGUAUUAAUUGAUAACCCUGUUACCUAACACCCACCUUCAACAAUGACCCUCACUCAUGGCCAGUCUUGUUUCUUGCAUGCCCCCUCCCUCAAGUAUUGGUGUAUUCUGAAGCAUAGAUUUUAAAAAACAUCGGACUUGAGUGCCUUUAUUGCAGGGCAAACAUUUCCCUAUCCCACACCGAGGCUGGCUCUCUAUGUCGUUGUCCUAGAUCCCAGGGCCUGGGUCACCUCCCUCAG